AACAAAAACACCCCGUCUUUUUUGGUUGGGUACCAUUAUAAGGUGAAACUCUGAUAUAAUUUGCACAUGGUUCAUAAGAAGAUUUACUAUACUCAAAGAUGUUGACCUAUUAUUACAUAUACAAAGAUUUUAUCCGAACUAGAGUUGGACACUUAUCUAAGGUUGGCAAAAUACUAGGAAAGCAUGGCCAAAAGAAACAGAAAGUGCCUAGUUGACACAGUGAUGGUUGAUUACUUUAUUAGUUGACCAAACACGGACCUUAAUCUUAUGAUGGCUGAUUACUUUAUUAGUUGACCAAACACGGACCUGUCUUUGCAGCACGUGUCCAGUAAUAUGCCUUUUUUCACCAAAACUUGCUUGCUCGAGUACUUGAAAAGUUGGAAUUCUCUGUCAGUAGAAAAUUAAGGCUGCUUGCUGGAGUACUUGAAAUUCUCUUUGUUGGUACAAAAUUAAGGGGAUCCUUUUGUUCAAACUCUCAGCAUUCAUCUCCUCAUGCAAUAAUCCCGACAAGCAGCCACUAGGCCCACUACAUUUCCUUGUCAUUCUAUCCACUCCAAAGCACUCCAGCCUGAUUGGUCCCUCUCGCAUAAUGGAAGCCAAGCCACAACUCACCUUUUUCAACACCUUCCUUUCCAUUGGCCCCGUCACAAUGCGUGAACAAGCAGCCCCCCCCCCCCCCCCCCCCCN
rnacentral:lncRNA from 1 species